CAGAUGCUGUUAAAGAUGGUCAUACAGCUGCAGAUACUACAGAGGUCACAGAAACAUCUGAAGAUGCCCUCGGUGAAUCAGCAGAAGUCUUGGAACAUGCUUAUCAUGAUGCUGUAGAAAUCAGAGGGAUAGUUUACCAUCCACAGUUGUCUCUGAACAUGCUGAAGGGCCGCCUCAAGCAAUGUUCAAGAUUUGACCCA